AUUGAACGCUAGCGGGAUGCUUUACACAUGCAAGUCGAACGAGUGGCGGACGGGUGAGUUAUAUAUCGGCCCGUGCGCAGUAGAGGGGGAUAACUACUCGAAAGAAUGGCCAAUUCCGCCUACUAUAGGAGCGGCCGAUGUCGGAUUAGCUAGUUGGAGGGGUAAAGGCACACCACGGCAACGAUCCGUAGCUGGUUUGAGAGGAGGACCAGCCACACUGGGACUGAGACACGGCCCAGACUCCUACGGGAGGCAGCAGUGGGGAAUUUUGGACAAUGGGGGAAACCCUGAUCCAGCCAUCCCGCGUGUAUGAGAAGGCCUUCGGGUUGUAAAGUACUUUUGGCAGAGAAGCGGUAUCUGCAGAAUAAGCACCGGCUAACUACGUGCCAGCAGCCGCGGUAAUAC
rnacentral:rRNA from 1 species